UACGGGGGGGGCAAGCGUUGUUCGGAAUUACUGGGCGUAAAGGGCUCGUAGGCGGCCAACUAAGUCGGAAUGUGAAAUCCCCAGGCUUAACCUGGGAACUGCAUCCGAUACUGGAUGGCUUGAAUCCGGGAGAGGGAUGCGGAAUUCCAGGUGUAGCGGUGAAAUGCGUAGAUAUCUGGAGGAACACCGGUGGCGAAGGCGGCAUCCUGGACCGGCAUUGACGCUGAGGAGCGAAAGCCAGGGGAGCAAACGGGG
rnacentral:rRNA from 1 species